AAACUAAGAUUAAAUCCUGACCCUUAUAAUUCAAUAAAAACUUCUAGAAGGGGAGGUUAUUUGACAGUUUCUGAAAUCUCUUUUGACUUUACAUAUCGCGAAGAACGGAGGCCACGAUCAAUAUCCAGUUACCUUGCAGUUUAUCUUCCAGGGAUUCAGUUUGCAUUGGUUUUAGAUGAUGAAGCGCUCCCAUGUUGUCCACCUCCCGCAAUUUCGCUGCAGUUGAAGACGGUUUUUGGGUUUGUACAAGAAUGCAGUUGUUAAAUAGUGGGUAUAAAACUAGGAAAAUAUAAUGUUUCUCAGAAAAGAUGUCUGGAAUCCGUCGCCGGAAUGAUACCUCCAACACCCGUCUCUCGCCAUUUUCAGUUUCAACCAGAGGCUGUUUGAUUUCGACGGUGGUGGUAACCUAAGGAUGAAUUAAUGGUUUGAUCUUCGCACAAGUUCUUUUGUUAGUUGUUCAGACCAACGGUACUCUCAAGCGGGCAUAUCAUUUGAUUUGGGUUGUUCCAAUAUGCAGUGCAGUUACCUGUAUAUUUUUAUCCCCACUUGGGUUUUUUAGUGGGUGUUUAGCGUUUUGAAGAAAGUGGCAAGAUUGUUGGGAGUGUUACAAGAUUUCCGGCUGUUAGUGUAGCUCAUAAGUCAUGGCUUUAAAUGUCUCAACUGUUGUUACAUGAAGGUUGUGAUAUCACUCAUUUGGAAGGGUUUUAAAGGAAACUACAUGUGAGCAGAAUCUGAUGGGUGGCAAUGCAGAACUCAAAGAUCUGCAGGGUGAGGUAUCGUGGUGUCUCGUGGCUAGAAUGUCUGUUAAUUUUAGGUAUUCUAUUACUAAAUCGUAGAUCCGGUGGUUAAGUGUCGUGGAUAGUGGAUAUGAGUCAAGAGUUAUCUUAUCAUACACAUUCUUUCGGCUUUGGUUCGAGUUCGAUCCCAGGCUCAAACUCGUGCUUGCCGCCGCCGGGUCCAGAUUACCGAGUCACCCCAGUCGACCACAAAGAAUAACUGUUCUAGGUUGUACGACGAUCACACCGAAAAAUCCUUGAAAUGGACACCACGAAAUGCCACAUAAGACGACAGAACAUGUUCCAAUCGGACCAGAUCAGUUACAGUCAAAGUCAAAGUUUGACCACUUCUUGAGGGUCAACGCUCCACCCAAAGGGCCUGAGCCCAGGUGGCUCAUGCAAAGUAAGCUCUCUAACUGGCCCUUUAAAGUGGUUUCCUCAUGACAUUGCGGAAUAAGUUUCUUUAAGCAUUAUCCAAAAUAGCCCUCCUUUUUACGCGUAUACUUCUAAGAACGGGUUGAUGAGAGUAGCCCGUUUACCCCAGCUAAGAGUGAUAGUUCAAGAAGCUGUCUUAGUGGCUACUCGGACCAGCCUAACUACAUGGCGUACACAGAGUCUUCACGGGCUAAAGGCAGGUCUGUAAGUGCACCUAGACAAAGGCCUCAUAUGGAGUUUCCUAGCACCACAGAGGUAUUCUGUCUACGGAUACGGUUUAGGUGAUCAUCGUGGUUCAAACUUGAAGGAUAAGUUUGUGAGCAAAGCGUAUCCGGGUUCGGGGCGACUUGAUCGACUUGGUCUGCCGGUCGGUGGCAUCGUUUUUCAUGAAGGUGAGUUUAGUGGUGGUUAUUGGAAUUAGCAACUUAUAUAUGUUAACUUUUUACAUUUGAGCAAGUGGUUGGAAUGCCAUUUGAAAGUUAUGAUGGCCUUUUUGUAA